rnacentral:rRNA from 1 species
GACGAACGCUGGCGGCGUGCUUAACACAUGCAAGUCGAACGGAAAGGCCCUGCUUUUGUGGGGUGCUCGAGUGGCGAACGGGUGAGUAACACGUGAGUAACCUGCCCUUGACUUUGGGAUAACUUCAGGAAACUGGGGCUAAUACCGGAUAGGAGCUCCUGCUGCAUGGUGGGGGUUGGAAAGUUUCGGCGGUUGGGGAUGGACUCGCGGCUUAUCAGCUUGUUGGUGGGGUAGUGGCUUACCAAGGCUUUGACGGGUAGCCGGCCUGAGAGGGUGACCGGCCACAUUGGGACUGAGAUACGGCCCAGACUCCUACGGGAGGCAACAGUGGGGAAUAUUGCACAAUGGGCGGAAGCCUGAUGCAGCAACGCCGCGUGCGGGAUGACGGCCUUCGGGUUGUAAACCGCUUUCGCCUGUGACGAAGCGUGAGUGACGGUAAUGGGUAAAGAAGCACCGGCUAACUACGUGCCAGCAGCCGCGGUGAUACGUAGGGUGCGAGCGUUGUCCGGAUUUAUUGGGCGUAAAGGGCUCGUAGGUGGUUGAUCGCGUCGGAAGUGUAAUCUUGGGGCUUAACCCUGAGCGUGCUUUCGAUACGGGUUGACUUGAGGAACGUAGGGGAGAAUGGAAUUCCUGGUGGAGCGGGUGGAAUGCGCAGAUAUCAGGGAGGAACACCAGUGGCGAAGGCGGUUCUCUGGGCCUUUCCUGACGCUGAGGAGCGAAAGCGUGGGGAGCGAACAGGCUUAGAUACCCUGGUAGUCCACGCUGUAAACGGUGGGUACUAGGUGUGGGGUCCAUUCCACGGGUUCCGUGCCGUAGCUAACGCUUUAAGUACCCCGCCUGGGGAGUACGGCCGCAAGGCUAAAACUCAAAGGAAUUGACGGGGCCCCGCACAAGCGGCGGAGCAUGCGGAUUAAUUCGAUGCAACGCGUAGAACCUUACCUGGGUUUGACAUGGAUCGGGAGUGCUCAGAGAUGGGUGUGCCUCUUUUGGGGUCGGUUCACAGGUGGUGCAUGGCUGUCGUCAGCUCGUGUCGUGAGAUGUUGGGUUAAGUCCCGCAACGAGCGCAACCCUUGUUCACUGUUGCCAGCACGUUAUGGUGGGGACUCAGUGGAGACCGCCGGGGUCAACUCGGAGGAAGGUGGGGAUGACGUCAAGUCAUCAUGCCCCUUAUGUCCAGGGCUUCACGCAUGCUACAAUGGCUGGUACAGAGAGUGGCGAGCCUGUGAGGGUGAGCGAAUCUCGGAAAGCCGGUCUCAGUUCGGAUUGGGGUCUGCAACUCGACCUCAUGAAGUCGGAGUCGCUAGUAAUCGCAGAUCAGCAACGCUGCGGUGAAUACGUUCCCGGGGCUUGUACACACCGCCCGUCAAGUCAUGAAAGUUGGUAACACCCGAAGCCGGUGGCCUAACCGUUGUGGGGGAGCCGUCGAAGGUGGGACUGGUGA